rnacentral:rRNA from 1 species
ACGAACGCUGGCGGCGUGCUUAACCCCUGCAAGUCGAACGGAAAGGCCCUGCUUUUGUGGGGUGCUCGAGUGGCGAACGGGUGAGUAACACGUGAGUAACCUGCCCUUGACUUUGGGAUAACUUCAGGAAACUGGGGCUAAUACCGGAUAGGAGCUCCUGCUGCAUGGUGGGGGUUGGAAAGUUUCGGCGGUUGGGGAUGGACUCGCGGCUUAUCAGCUUGUUGGUGGGGUAGUGGCUUACCAAGGCUUUGACGGGUAGCCGGCCUGAGCGGGUGACCGGCCACAUUGGGACUGAGAUACGGCCCAGACUCCUACGGGAGGCAGCAGUGGGGAAUAUUGCACAAUGGGCGGAAGCCUGAUGCAGCAACGCCGCGUGCGGGAUGACGGCCUUCGGGUUGUAAACCGCUUUCGCCUGUGACGAAGCGUGAGUGACGGUAAUGGGUAAAGAAGCACCGGCUAACUACGUG